rnacentral:antisense_RNA from 1 species
GCAGUAAGAUGCUGUCUAUGAACCAGGAAGCAGACCCUCACCAGAUGCUGAACGUGCUGGCACCUUGGACUUCUCAGCCUCCAGAAAUGCAGAUGACAAGACCCAAGGAGAUGGAGGAGCCACACAACUGAAAGAGAUGAGGUUCCUGAAUCACCACAUGGAGGGAAGCGGCCACUGAUUAGAAACAUCUGCCUGUUUCAUAAGGAUAAGUAAAGAGGGAAUGGAUGCCACAUGGUGCAGCUGCCUAAAAGCUAAGAAGGGGUCAUGGGGUAACAGGAAAUACCAAGGAAAAAUAAUAAUUGAUCCAGAGAAAAGGAAAGAAGAAUGGACUUGAAACCCUCCUGAGGCUCUAAUGAUGGUGAUUCUGCAAGGCUGAGAGCAGAGAUUUACAUAUUUGCUGUCAAGGUGAAGGUACCACAACGUGGAUGCCAUCUGGCAGGCACCUGGGUGGCUGACACGCAACAUCAAGUGCAGUAUCAUGAAAAUUAGCCAAGCUGGGCCCUGGUACUUCAUUGCUACCUGGUGUGACGGUGGACACCCAACAUCCACACCCUGGCUCCCAGUCUCCCCACCUUUAAAAUGGAUUUGAUCUCCAGAUUGCUACGUUUGUGUCCAUAUGUAAUGGACAAAAGUGGUGAUGGACUAACAAAUUAUGGGAUGAGGAUCUGCAGGCUUUAUUUACUACUAAAAUGUUUAUUUCAUGUGUUGAUUAUCUGCAGCAUCGCCACCUUGCAGUUAGUCACUGGAGUCCUCUCAGAAUAGG